rnacentral:lncRNA from 1 species
CUGCCACGACGCCACCGAGGCCGGUCCAAUAGUCGAAGAUUAAUAAAUCAAUAUGCUCUAGUGAUUAGUCGUUAAACGAAACAAACUCUUUUUUCCUCAGCGUUUUACUGUUAGUUACAGUGUUAGUUCUACAACCCUUAGCCGGGCUUAGUGACGAGAAGCCCGUGGAUUCCGUGUUGGAGCCCCCAGAACUCCCGGAGCAGAGGCGAGAGUUUGAUAGCGAGCACGCAGAUCUCGACUAUGGUUCCACAAGCGAGUUUUCACAACUUAGUGAUGUUCCAAUGAUCGAUUAUAAUGGAACAUUGAUUGGUUUGGCUUUACCGAUGCGAUAAUCGAUUAAACAAAGCCAUAAUCGAUUGUAUGGGAAAUAUUAACUGUAAUUGUACAUCCAGUUUAGAUGAUGGAACUGAUGUAAAUAUCUUCUGUUUGGUGUUUGUUUUCAUGUGUCACACUAUCUCUGCUUCCUUUGGAAAAGGUAAAAAGGCAGCUUGGAGCUGCGACCCUGAUGUGACUUGAGCCUGACGCUAUAUUUUGUUUCCCGUUCCCCAAAUAUUGUACACAAAUUUAACUUCGAUUUAUUAUGUUUAUGGGGUGAUAUACACGAAACACCAAACAGCUAUUCACAAACACCAUGAGCAUUUUCCCGGCCAAGCAGGUACGGCGGAGCAAUGGGGCAUGGGGUGGGUUGACUCUAUCCCCCUCAAAAAUUCUGAAUACAAAAAAAAAUACUGGUAGUAAAUCUUCAGGCAGAGAUGAAUUUUACUUGCAGAAUAGAGUGAACUGCAUUUCAGGACAUUUAUGUUUCUAAAUUUUACGAGGAGCAUACCCCGAACCUCCUAGAAACUUUGCUUUGAAGCCCUCGAUCUCAGUCAGAGCCCUCACCCCCAGUGUGUACUUGCUUCCGCCGUGCCUGCCAAGUGAUACCAAAGUACGUCUCUGCCCCAUGGACUAUUACUGUUUUUCAAAAUCUGUUAAAUGUAAUAAAUGUUAAUCUCUUGUUAUGUGCUUACAGAUAUGAAGCCUGAUUCCAAGAAGAAAACGUAUCCCGUAAAACCACCUGCUAUGUCUCAAAAAGUCAACAAAGAUGAUAUGUGUCAUUUCCGUUUGCGCCGAUGUUUGUCUAUGGUUGUCAAUAACAAUAUUUCCUGGCUGGAAUUUAGGAUUAAGAGGCCGUUAUCAACAGGCAGUUGACAGGAAAUGAAGGGAUGCUCAUGGAACUGCGUGGCCGCCCAGAACAAGCCAGUAGCCACCAGAUUGAUCCAGUGUUUUCGAGGAAAGAAGCAGAACAAAAAGGAAUGUGACCCUGACCCUGACCCUGACCUUGAAAAGCCACGACGUAAAUCUGUAACAUUCUACCACUUUCUACUAGAAGGUCACUUAUGGAAUCCUAAGGAAAAUAUAAUGAGGGAAAAGACAAUGACACGGCAUCAGAAGACACAUUAGGCGGAUAUCAUGCAGCUGAGGAUGGUGAUAAUCUUAGGGUAGAAGUGGAUACCGAGUCGGAGAGUUCCGAAGAAGAGGUUGAAUCUAGUGACGAGACUGAAUCCGAAGGAAACGUGUCACAUAAUUUCAAGGAAGAAUCUGCAACUGAACUGCAAAAUAGGCAACGAUAUAAACACAGCCAAAAACACAAACAACAGACACUAUACGUUUCUAUGGAACAACCCAAUAUUGGACUGCCAGAUAAGCAACGGUAUAGUUGCCCACAAGAACCUAAUAUUAGACUGCCAGAUAGGCAACAGUAUAGUUACCUACGAGGACCUAAUAUUGGACUGCAAUAUAAGCAGCUAUAUAAUUACAAGCAAGAACCCAAUAUUAGACUAUACGCUUGCAGCCAAGAAUCUGACAGAAGUAGCCAAGAUAAGGUGCUAUUCAAUAAUAGACAACACGCCAAUAUUAGAUUGAAAAAUGCAUAUGCAAAGAAAAUACAAAGAGCCCUACAUUGCGAUCAAUGGCAAGAUAUACAGGUGCAGGGAGGAACUUGACGCCGAGCCACAAGAGAGAAAAUUGUCUCGUUACGAAGAGAUAAAUGAAUUUGCACCCAGAUCUAAAGGUCGAAAAUUAAAAAAAAAAUUAAAACAUGCUCCAUGAAACCUUGUGUGCUGGACUAAAGCGUAGACAGCAGGCGUGUUUGCAGAAGGGAGCAUUUUGGGGAUCCAACCCCACCCAUGCUCAAGCAAUUUGUUUUCAAUACAUUUUCCAGAGGAGCAUGUUUCGGCCCCCCUAUUAGCUCGCCAGUCUACACGCCCCUGCUAAGAUUUCUGCAGACGCGCUUAAACAGGAUCAGCCUAGUAUCACCAUAAUUUUACAGCAAAAGGCAAAUAUUUUACAAGAAUGGCUUCCAGUGGCAUAUAAUAGGACUGUAUCGUAGGAAGUUUGAUUCCUUUUGAAAAGUGACACUACCUCUCACCCACUUCGUGUAGAGAAAUUUUAAAGGUUUCUGUUCACUACGUGUUGACAACACGUCCAGAAGACAAUACCUUUGCACGUUUCACGUAGAGAAAGCUUCAACUUUUUUUUUUUUAACUACAUGUUCACAACACGUCCGCGAGACACUACCUUCCACACAUUUCGCGUAGAGAAAUCUUCAAAGUUUUUGUGUUCAUAACACGUCGGUGAGACACUACCUCUUGUACGUUUCGCAUAGAGACAUUUUAAAUGUGUUUGUGCUCACUACGUGUUCACAACAUGUCGAAACACUACGUGUUACAUGUUUCGUGUAGAGAAGUCUUCAACGUGUUUUUGUUGUUCACUACGUGUUCACAAUAGAACCGCGAGACACUACCUCUCACACGUUUCGCUUAGAGAAAUCUUAAAUGUUUGUGUGUUCGUUCUAUGUUCACAACACGUCUGCGAGACACUACCUCUGACGUUUCGCUUAGAGAAAUCUUAAAUGUUUGUGUGUUCACUCUAUGUUCACAACAUGUCUGCGAGACACUACCUCUCGCACGUUUCGCUUAGAGAAAUCUUAAAUGUUUUUUUUGUUCACUACAUGUUCACAACACGUCCGCGAGACACUACCUCUCACACGUUUCGCGUAGAGAAAUCUAAAAUGUAAUUGUGUUCACAACACUACCUCUCACACGUUUCAUGUAGAGAAAUCUUAAAAGUAAUUGUAUUCACAACACGUCAGCGAAACAUUACCUCUCACAUGUUUCGCGCAGAGAAAUCUUAAUCUCUCUAUUUACCACCUGUGUUAGCCUAAGCGGCUAUGUACGUAUGUAUGUAUGUGCAGCGCAGGGUAUGUCCGCCUUCACACAGUGAAGGUGGCUUUCAAUAAGUACAUUAUGCCCGAGACAAGAUAUUAUGUCGCAAAGCGUUUCACUUCUCAGACAAUUGUUUGUGUAUUGUAUGAAAUCGAUGUAGAUUUAGGAGGCCAAAUGUGCGCAACCCUCCACUGUUUUUGUUUUGGUUAAUAAAGUAUUUAAUUUCGUA